CCUACGGGUGGCAGCAGUGGGGAAUAUUGCACAAUGGGGGAAACCCUGAUGCAGCGACGCCGCGUGAGUGAAGAAGUAUCUCGGGAUGUAAAGCUCUAUCAGCAGGGACGAAAUAGCUACCUUUGGGUCGCCAGACGGUACCUGACUAAGACGCCCCGGCUAACUACGUGCAAGCAGCCGCGGUAAUACGCAGGGGGCAAGCGUUAUCCGGAUUUACUGGGUGUAAAGGGAGCGUAGGCGGCAGCACAAGUCUGAAGUAAAAUGCCGGGGCUUAACCCCGGAACUGCUUUGGAAACUGUGUAGAUAGAGUACUGGAGAGGUAAGCGGAAUUCCUAGUGUAGCGGUGAAAUGCGUAGAUAUUAGGAGGAACACCAGUGGCGAAGGCGGCUUACUGGACUGUAACUGACGUUGAGGCUCGAAAGCGUGGGGAGCAAACAGGAUUAGAUACCCGGGUAGUC
rnacentral:rRNA from 1 species